rnacentral:tRNA from 1 species
CCGUGUCGUGGCCGACGGUCGCGCGGCCGCCGUCGUAGUCGACGUCCGUGGAGACCUCGCCGCGCCCCGGCCGCUCACCGCGGCCGCCGUGGUC